UUGCAACUAUCUUAAAUAAUUCAUAUUGUCAAUUGAAAUUGUCAAAUUGACGUAUAUUUCAUACCUUCUGUCAAUGAAGCAGAAAAAUUACAUAUUGCUCCACAAUAUUGAUAUGAUAUGCAAUUAUUAUAUAAAGGUAAAUUUAAUUAAUUGUAUUUUGCUUGCAGUACUGCAUUUUAAUAACUAAUUUUAUUUACUACAUACAAUUGUUGAUGUUUUCAUAACAUAACCUGAAUCUUAUUUUUUCUUCUUAUUAUUUUUUUUGGACUAUGGCCUUGACAAUUAUCCAGUAACCAGGACUAAUAUAAUUGGCCAAUAUAAUUAAAAGUGCGAAUAAUAGUACAGAGCGUAGAAAUAGGGGUCGCUUUGCCGAACUUGCACGGUCCCAAUAGGGUGUCAAUAAGUUAUUUCAUCUAUGCUAUGACAUAGUAUGACGUCAACAUCACUUUUACUUUUACUCCCUAGGGAUUAAAAGUACUUUGUUUCCCUAGGGAGAAAAAAAUAUGACUAUGCUCCCUACAAUGAGGCCAGGAAAUGUAUACUUUGGAUAGAGAAAAACUGGAAAUAGUAUUUAAGGCAACGAUUGUGAAUGAGUGAGAAGUCUAAUAAAGCCAAGACGAGAUACUGUAUUAGAGCAUACGAUUUGGAGGUAUUUUGAUUAGAUAAAUUUUGUAAAGUACAAUAUAAAUUAGAUUUGAUAAUGUGUAGUAUUUCCUAAUAAAUUAAAUACUAUUAAGUGUUUAUUGUUCUUGUAAGUUAGUGUGGUAAAUAAAUAAUAUGAAGUAA